rnacentral:rRNA from 1 species
GAUGAACGCUGGCGGCGUGCCUAACACAUGCAAGUCGAACGGCAGCGCGGGGUGCUUGCACCCUGCCGGAGAGCGGCAGACGUGUGAAUAACGCGUGGAAACGGGCCCCGAAGUUAGGAUUAACUCCCGGAAAGGGGAGCUAAUACCGCAUAGUAUCUUCGGAUCAAAGGAUGUAUCGGCUAUGUGCGGCGGUCGGGUAUGGUUACGCGGCUGAUGAGCUAGUUGGUGGGGUAGCUGACUACCAAGGCCUUGUCGGGUAGCAGGCCUGAGCGGGCGACCGGCCACAUUGGGACGGAGAGACGGCCCAGACUCAUACGGGAGGCAGCAGGGGGGAAUAUAGCACAAUGGGCGGAAGCCUGAUGCAGCAACGCCGCGUGCGGGAUGACGGCCUUCGGGUUGGAAGCCGCUUUCGCCUGUGACGAAGCGUGAGUGACGGUAAUGGGGAAAGAAGCACCGGCUAACUACGU